AAUGAACGCUGGCGGCAUGCCUUACACAUGCAAGUCGAACGGCAGCAUGACCUAGCUUGCUAGGUUGAUGGCGAGUGGCGAACGGGUGAGUAAUGCAUCGGAACGUGCCUUUUAGUGGGGGAUAACGUAGCGAAAGUUACGCUAAUACCGCAUAUUCUCUGAGGAGGAAAGCAGGGGACCUUCGGGCCUUGCGCUAGAAGAGCGGCCGAUGUCGGAUUAGCUAGUUGGUGAGGUAAAGGCUCACCAAGGCAACGAUCCGUAGCGGGUCUGAGAGGAUGAUCCGCCACACUGGGACUGAGACAAGGCCCAGACUCCUACGGGAGGCAGCAGUGGGGAAUUUUGGACAAUGGGCGCAAGCCUGAUCCAGCCAUGCCGCGUGAGUGAAGAAGGCCUUCGGGUUGUAAAGCUCUUUCGGCUGGGAAGAAAUCGCACCCUCUAAUACAGGGUGUGGAUGACGGUACCAGCAUAAGAAGCAACGGCUAACUACGUG
rnacentral:rRNA from 1 species